GAUGAAGAACGUAGCGAAAUGCGAUAAGUAGUGUGAAUUGCAGAAUUCAGUGAAUCAUCGAAUCUUUGAACACACAUUGCGCCCCUUGGUAUCCCGAGGGGCAUGCCUGUUCGAGCGUCAUUUCACCACUCAAGCCUGGCUUGGUGUUGGGCGACGUCCCCUUUGGGGACGCGCCUCGAAACGCUCGGCGGCGUGGCACCGGCUUUAAGCGUAGCAGAAUCUUUCGCUUUGGAAGUCGGGGCCCCGUCUGCCGGAAGACCUACUCGCAAGGUUGACCUCGGAUCAGGCAGGGAUACCCGCUGAACUUAAGCAUAUCAAUAAGCGGAGGA
rnacentral:misc_RNA from 1 species